rnacentral:rRNA from 1 species
AACGAACGCUGGCGGCGUGCCUAACACAUGCAAGUCGUGCGAGAAAGUUCCUUCGGGAGCGAGUAAAGCGGCGCACGGGUGAGUAACACGUAGGUAACCUGCCCCCCAGUCUGGAACAACUAGAGGAAACUCUAGCUAAUGCCGGAUGAGACCACGAUCCCCUUCGGGGGUUGCGGCCAAAGAUGGCCUCUACUUGUAAGCUAUCGCUGAGGGAUGGGCCUGCGGGCCAUUAGCUUGUUGGUGAGGUAACGGCUCACCAAGGCUGUGAUGGCUAGCUGGUCUGAGAGAAUGACCAGCCACACUGGGACUGAGACACGGCCCAGACUCCUACGGAGGCAGCAGUGGGGAAUAUUGCGCAAUGGGCGAAAGCCUGACGCAGCGACGCCGCGUGGGUGAUGAAGGCCU